ACGGCAGCACGGGAGCAAUCCUGGUGGCGAGUGGCGAACGGGUGAGUAAUAUAUCGGAACGUGCCCAGUCGUGGGGGAUAACGCAGCGAAAGCUGUGCUAAUACCGCAUACGAUCUCUGGAUGAAAGCGGGGGACUCGCAAUGGCCUCGCGCGAUUGGAGCGGCCGAUAUCAGAUUAGGUAGUUGGUGUGGUAAAAGCUCACCAAGCCGACGAUCUGUAGCUGGUCUGAGAGGACGACCAGCCACACUGGAACUGAGACACGGUCCAGACUCCUACGGGAGGCAGCAGUGGGGAAUUUUGGACAAUGGGCGCAAGCCUGAUCCAGCAAUGCCGCGUGCAGGAUGAAGGCCUUCGGGUUGUAAACUGCUUUUGUACGGAACGAAACGGUCUGCUUUAAUACAGUGGGCUAAUGACGGUACCGUAAGAAUAAGCACCGGCUAACUACGUGCCAGCAGCCGCGGUAAUACGUAGGGUGCGAGCGUUAAUCGGAAUUACUGGGCGUAAAGCGUGCGCAGGCGGUUAUAUAAGACAGAUGUGAAAUCCCCGGGCUCAACCUGGGACCUGCAUUUGUGACUGUAUAGCUAGAGUACGGUAGAGGGGGAUGGAAUUCCGCGUGUAGCAGUGAAAUGCGUAGAUAUGCGGAGGAACACCGAUGGCGAAGGCAAUCCCCUGGACCUGUACUGACGCUCAUGCACGAAAGCGUGGGGAGCAAACAGGAUUAGAUACCCUGGUAGUCCACGCCCUAAACGAUGUCAACUGGUUGUUGGGUCUUCACUGACUCAGUAACGAAGCUAACGCGUGAAGUUGACCGCCUGGGGAGUACGGCCGCAAGGUUGAAACUCAAGGAAUUGACGGGGACCCGCACAAGCGGUGGAUGAUGUGGUUUAAUCGAUGCAACGCAAAAACCUUACCCAC
rnacentral:rRNA from 1 species